rnacentral:tRNA from 1 species
GCACCCAUAGCUCAACUGGAUAGAGCAUCGGUCUACGGAACCGAAGGUUGCAGGUUCGAGUCCUGCUGGGUGUA